rnacentral:lncRNA from 1 species
UCUUCCCUGUCAUCUUAUACUGAGGCAUAAAUGAACUCCACCAGAGGCCCUGAGAUCAAAGAUGUCUGAUUCUAUCAUCGUUUCUUCGUAUACUGGCCACACACUAGUUAUUCACAAGCCCAUAAAGAGAUGAAAAUAAUUAGCAAGAAAGAAAAAGCAUAAGCAGUUUGUAUUACCUGAAAUGGUCUCCCAGUGUUUGGUAGGUCAGCAGAGGCAAUAUUUAGAACAGAGCCACAACCACCAAAUCGUUCAUUCUGACAGCCAUAUACAACCAGCGGGAUUUUCAUCAGGCGGAGAGCAGCUGCACACAUAAUGCACGGCUCCACAGUGACAUACAACACAGUGUGUUCAAAUACUUCAGAGGGACUCUUGCCACUUUGACG